GACGAACGCUGGCGGCGUGCUUAACACAUGCAAGUCGAACGGAAAGGCCCUGCUUUUGUGGGGUGCUCGAGUGGCGAACGGGUGAGUAACACGUGAGUAACCUGCCCCUGACUUUGGGAUAACUUCAGGAGACUGGGGCUAAUACCGGAUAGGAGCUCCUGCUGCAUGGUGGGGGUUGGAAAGUUUCGGCGGUUGGGGAUGGACUCGCGGCUUAUCAGCUUGUUGGUGGGGUAGUGGCUUACCAAGGCUUUGACGGGUAGCCGGCCUGAGAGGGUGACCGGCCACAUUGGGACUGAGAUACGGCCCAGACUCCUACGGGAGGCAGCAGUGGGGAAUAUUGCACAAUGGGCGGAAGCCUGAUGCAGCAACGCCGCGUGCGGGAUGACGGCCUUCGGGUUGUAAACCGCUUUCGCCUGUGACGAAGCGUGAGUGACGGUAAUGGGUAAAGAAGCACCGGCUAACUACGUG
rnacentral:rRNA from 1 species